rnacentral:lncRNA from 1 species
GAUAUUAGUCGGUUAGAGUUGAGUGGUCCCCCUAGGGUUGAGUGGUCCCCACUGGGUUAUAGUAUUUAAUCCAAUGGUUAGAAAUAAUGAAAAGAGUUGAUCCAAAGGCUAAAAAACUGGUAGCAACAAUAGAAUUUUGCUACUAAUAGUAGCCCAGUUCAACUCUCUCUAUAUAUAUAUAUAUAUAUAUAUAUAUAUAGAACUAGGCUGGAAUACUAUUAAUAGCACCAAGCUAUUGGUGCUAUUAGCUUUUUAACCCUUGGAUUGAGAAAUAUACAGUUAGGAUAAUGUGGCCCCCCUGGGGUUGAGUGGGUGAUUGGUUAAAUAGUAUAAUCUAACGAAUAAAAAUAAUCAAAAAGUUAAAUCUAACGGUAGAAAACUCGAUAGCACCAAGCCCUUGGUGCUAUCGAUAGUAUCCCAAUCGGACUAUAUAUAUAUAUAGUUGAGCUAGAAUACUAUCAAAAGCAACAAGGGGGUGGUGCUUUUGAGUUUUUAACCAUU